rnacentral:rRNA from 1 species
UACAGAGGUCUCAAGCGUUGUUCGGAUUCAUUGGGCGUAAAGGGUGCGUAGGCGGCGCGGUAAGUCGGGUGUGAAAUCUCGGGGCUUAACUCCGAAACUGCAUUCGAUACUGCCGUGCUUGAGGACUGGAGAGGAUAGUGGAAUUCCCGGUGUAGCGGUGAAAUGCGUAGAGAUCGGGAGGAACACCAGUGGCGAAGGCGGCUAUCUGGACCAGCACUGACACUCAGGCACGAAAGCGUGGGUAGCAAACAGG